GACGAACGCUGGCGGCGUGCCUAAUACAUGCAAGUCGAGCGAAGUUUUUCUGGUGCUUGCACUAGAAAAACUUAGCGGCGAACGGGUGAGUAACACGUAAAGAACCUGCCUCAUAGACUGGGACAACUAUUGGAAACGAUAGCUAAUACCGGAUAACAAUAUUUUUCGCAUGAAAGAUACUUAAAAGUUGGUUAUGCUAACACUAUGAGAUGGCUUUGCGGUGCAUUAGCUAGUUGGUGGGGUAAAGGCCUACCAAGGCGACGAUGCAUAGCCGACCUGAGAGGGUGAUCGGCCACACUGGGACUGAGACACGGCCCAGACUCCUACGGGAGGCAGCAGUAGGGAAUCUUCCGCAAUGGGCGAAAGCCUGACGGAGCAACGCCGCGUGAGUGAAGAAGGAUUUCGGUUCGUAAAGCUCUGUUGUUAGGGAAGAAUGGAUAUGUAGUAACUA
rnacentral:rRNA from 1 species